GGUGGAAAGAAAUUUUUGUUCUAAUUGGUAGAACAGAGUCUUCUUAUUUAAAAUCACUCCUUGGUGAACUGAGGAGAAAGAAUGAUGAGAUCCUUGAAUGCUUUACUAGUGAUCCUGUGGCUUCAAUUGAUCUGGGUGAGCAGCCAACAAAAAGAGGUGGAGCAGCAUCCGGAAUCCCUCAGUGUUCCAGAAGGAGCCAUGGCUUCUCUCAACUGCACUUACAGAGACAGUGCUUCUCAGAACUUCGGGUGGUACAGACAGUAUCCUGGGAAAGGCCUCAAGCUGCUGGUGUCCACAUUCUCCAGUGGCAACAAAGACGAAGGAAGAUACACAGCACAUCUUAAUAAAGCCAGCCGGUAUUUUUCCCUGCAUAUCAGAGGCUCCCAGCCCAGUGACUCAGCCACCUACCUCUGCGCAGUGAGCACACAGUGCUCCCCAGACACCUGCAGCCUGCACCAAAACCUAUGGGGACUCCUGCAGGGCCUGAGGCAGAGUACAGACCAUAGGGCAGAGAAAUUCUGUUGUGCCAUGGAAAUCAAGAGCAGUAGCAGGAAUGGUUUCAUUGACUGGGGAAGUGUUUUGAUGUUCUGA